UUUUACAAUGGAGAGUUUGAUCCUGGCUCAGGAUGAACGCUAGCUACAGGCUUAACACAUGCAAGUCGAGGGGAAACGACAUCGAAAGCUUGCUUUU
rnacentral:rRNA from 1 species